AGAAUAGUAAAGAGCUACCGCAUUCAGUCUUCCAAACAAUCACAUUCAUUUGUAUGGUUCCGGCCUUUCCUUGAGUUCCUGCUCUGACUUCACUUCCAGAUUCACUGCAAAACUGUCUCCAGAAGAAUGUGUGGCCCAGAUCA